GUUCGAAUGGUGUAGUGGUUAUCACAUGCCGUUCACAUUAAUGUGAACAUUAGAUCCGGCAAGGUCCCCGGUUCGAGCCCGGGUUCGAACA